rnacentral:rRNA from 1 species
ACGGGUGAGUAACGCGUGAGUAACCUGCCUUUCAGAGGGGGAGUAACGUUCUGAAAAGAAACGCUAAUACCGCAUGAGACUACAGAGCUGCAUGGCUCAGUGGUCAAAGGAGCAAUCCGCUGAAAGAUGGACCCGCGUCCGAUUAGAUAGUAGGCGGGGUAACGGCCCACCUAGUCGACGAUCGGUAGCCGGACUGAGAGGUUGAACGGCCACAUUGGGACUGAGACACGGCCCAGACUCCUACGGGAGGCAGCAUG